rnacentral:rRNA from 1 species
UACGAAGGGGGCAAGCGUUGUUCGGAAUUAUUGGGCGUAAAGGGCUCGUAGGCGGUCAAUUACGUCCGACGUGAAAUCCCCAGGCUUAACCUGGGAACUGCGUCGGAUACUGAUUGGCUUGAGGUUGGGAGAGGGAUGCGGAAUUCCAGGUGUAGCGGUGAAAUGCGUAGAUAUCUGGAGGAACACCGGUGGCGAAGGCGGCAUCCUGGACCAAUUCUGACACUGAGGAGCGAAAGCCAGGGGAGCAAACGGG